UUCUUAUUUGGUCUGCUUUAGCCCUGUUAGCUUGGAGUUUAUACUAAACAACACCUUCCACUCAUCAUUCAAACACUCAUCCCACUGCUGACACACUGAUAAUACUGACUAACACACCUCAUAUUGCCAAGUAUGGUGCCGAUCUGUUUUAAUUAAUACAGUUGUGCACUUUUGAAACUGUCCUCCUAUUUGUCACAACUUAUGAGUUGGACCACGACAAUGGAUGUGCACUUUGCUACCCCCUACUGGGCAAAGCAACCUCUGCAACUGAGGGAAAAGCGCUGUGGAUGAAGAUGCAGAGCAGAAACUGUCACACUGAUACGAACAAAAUAAGUAGCGAAUCAUGCAGAGAGAAGUCACGACAGCACAUGGACCCAGCAGUGGGUCUUCUUGCAGCAACCUGGGACUGGCAGAAAGUUGACCUGGGGAGACACCAUAACCUUGACAAACCUCAGACCUGAUAUGGUGCUAAUAUCAGACUCACUGAGGCAGUUGGUGGUCCUGCUAGAAUUGACCAUUCCCUGAGAAGACCAGAUGGAAGAGGCUUCUUGCCAAGUAGAAGAAGCUUACAGGUGAAGCAAGGCAUGUAAGACCCAUUGUACCUCACUGUACUAGCCCAUGAAAUUGCUCAGGAUCAAGGGACUGAACAUCAUUAAUGCACCCGAGAAGACAUCAAGAUGGCUGUGGACCAAAAGGGGAGAUCUGCAGAUGACUUAAGCCACCUAGACACAAGCUGGAGACUGAUCACCCGUGGCUAGGUUGCCUGGGUACUGGUGUCUGAUGUUGAAAGACCUGAAACACCUGAUGACGCUGGGUUUGGUUGCACUGUGGGUUGUUUGUUGAAACAAGCACUCUCAUCACUACCUUUUGU